rnacentral:rRNA from 1 species
ACGCUGGCGGCGUGCCUAAUACAUGCAAGUCGAGCGAACAGAAAAGGAGCUUGCUCCUUUGACGUUAGCGGCGGACGGGUGAGUAACACGUGGGCAACCUACCCUAUAGUUUGGGAUAACUCCGGGAAACCGGGGCUAAUACCGAAUAACCUCUUUUGCUUCAUGGCGAAAGACUGAAAGACGGUUUCGGCUGUCGCUAUAGGAUGGGCCCGCGGCGCAUUAGCUAGUUGGUGAGGUAACGGCUCACCAAGGCGACGAUGCGUAGCCGACCUGAGAGGGUGAUCGGCCACACUGGGACUGAGACACGGCCCAGACUCCUACGGGAGGCAGCAGUAGGGAAUCUUCCACAAUGGGCGAAAGCCUGAUGGAGCAACGCCGCGUGAGUGAAGAAGGUUUUCGGAUCGUAAAACUCUGUUGUAAGGGAAGAACAAGUACAGUAGUAACUGGCUGUACCUUGACGGUACCUUAUUAGAAAGCC